rnacentral:rRNA from 1 species
CGGCGUGCUAUACAUGCAAGUCGAGCGAAUGGAUUAAGAGCUUGCUCUUAUGAAGUUAGCGGCGGACGGGUGAGUAACACGUGGGUAACCUGCCCAUAAGACUGGGAUAACUCCGGGAAACCGGGGCUAAUACCGGAUAACAUUUUGAACCGCAUGGUUCGAAAUUGAAAGGCGGCUUCGGCUGUCACUUAUGGAUGGACCCGCGUCGCAUUAGCUAGUUGGUGAGGUAACGGCUCACCAAGGCAACGAUGCGUAGCCGACCUGAGAGGGUGAUCGGCCACACUGGGACUGAGACACGGCCCAGACUCCUACGGGAGGCAGCAGUAGGGAAUCUUCCGCAAUGGACGAAAGUCUGACGGAGCAACGCCGCGUGAGUGAUGAAGGCUUUCGGGUCGUAAAACUCUGUUGUUAGGGAAGAACAAGUGCUAGUUGAAUAAGCUGGCACCUUGACGGUACCUAACCAGAAAGCCACGGCUAACUACGUGCCAGCAGCCGCGGUAAUACGUAGGUGGCAAGCGUUAUCCGGAAUUAUUGGGCGUAAAGCGCGCGCAGGUGGUUUCUUAAGUCUGAUGUGAAAGCCCACGGCUCAACCGUGGAGGGUCAUUGGAAACUGGGAGACUUGAGUGCAGAAGAGGAAAGUGGAAUUCCAUGUGUAGCGGUGAAAUGCGUAGAGAUAUGGAGGAACACCAGUGGCGAAGGCGACUUUCUGGUCUGUAACUGACACUGAGGCGCGAAAGCGUGGGGAGCAAACAGGAUUAGAUACCCUGGUAGUCCACGCCGUAAACGAUGAGUGCUAAGUGUUAGAGGGUUUCCGCCCUUUAGUGCUGAAGUUAACGCAUUAAGCACUCCGCCUGGGGAGUGCGGCCGCAAGGCUGAAACUCAAAGGAAUUGACGGGGGCCCGCACAAACGGUGGAGCAUGUGGUUUAAUUCGAAGCAACGCGAAGAACCUUACCAGGUCUUGACAUCCUUUGACAACCCUAGAGAUAGGGCUUCUCCUUCGGGAGCAGAGUGACAGGUGGUGCAUGGUUGUUGUCAGCUCGUGUCGUGAGAUGUUGGGUUAAGUCCCGCAACGAGCGCAACCCUUGAUUUUAGUUGCCAUCAUUUAGUUGGGCACUUUAAGGUGACUGCCGGUGACAAACCGGAGGAAGGUGGGGAUGACGUCAAAUCAUCAUGCCCCUUAUGACCUGGGCUACACACGUGCUACAAUGGACGGUACAAAGAGCUGCAAGACCGCGAGGUGGAGCUAAUCUCAUAAAACCGUUCUCAGUUCGGAUUGUAGGCUGCAACUCGCCUACAUGAAGCUGGAAUCGCUAGUAAUCGCGGAUCAGCAUGCCGCGGGGAAUACGUUCCCGGGCCUUGUACACACCGCCCGUCACACCACGAGAGUUUGUAACACCCGAAGUCGGUGGGGUAACCUUUUGGAGCCAGCCGCUUAACGGUG